rnacentral:rRNA from 1 species
UACGUAGGGCGCAAGCGUUGUCCGGAUUUAUUGGGCGUAAAGAGCUCGUAGGCGGCCUGUCGCGUCGACCGUGAAAACCCGCAGCUCAACUGCGGGCUUGCGGUCGAUACGGGCAGGCUGGAGUUCGGUAGGGGAGACUGGAAUUCCUGGUGUAGCGGUGAAAUGCGCAGAUAUCAGGAGGAACACCGGUGGCGAAGGCGGGUCUCUGGGCCGAUACUGACGCUGAGGAGCGAAAGCGUGGGAGCGAACAGG